rnacentral:tRNA from 1 species
GGGUUAAGUUUACAGAAGGUAUCUGUUAUCGAAUUGCAAAUUUGAUUUAUAGGGUUCAAUUCCCUCUUAACUCU